AGGCUGAAGACCUUACCCGAUUAGCUGAGAGGUGGUGCAUGGCCGUCGUCAGUUCGUACUGUGAAGCAUCCUGUUAAGUCAGGCAACGAGCGAGACCCACGUCCACAGUUGCCAGCAUACCCCUCCGGGGUGAUGGGUACACUGUGGAGACCGCCGCUGCUAAAGCGGAGGAAGGAGUGGGCAACGGUAGGUCAGUAUGCCCCGAAUCUCCCGGGCUACACGCGGGCUACAAUGGUCGGUACAAUGGGCAUCUACCCCGAAAGGGGAAGGAAAUCUCUUAAAGCCAAUCGUAGUUCGGAUUGAGGGCUGCAACUCGCCCUCCAUGAAGCUGGAAUCCGUAGUAAUCGCGUUUCAACAGAACGCGGUGAAUACGUCCCUGCUCCUU
rnacentral:rRNA from 1 species